AAAGUCGUAACAAGGUCUCCGUUGGUGAACCAGCGGAGGGAUCAUUAUUGAGUUACCGAACUCCCAAACCCGUGUGAACUUACCACUGUUGCUUCGGCGGUCACGCCCCGGGAGCCCCGCGCGGCCCGGAGUCAGGCGUCCGCCGGAGGACCAAAACUCUUGAUUUUACAGCGUCUCUUCUGAGUGGAUUAUACAAAUGAAUCAAAACUUUCAACAACGGAUCUCUUGGUUCUG
rnacentral:misc_RNA from 1 species